CCAGGAGAGAUGAAAGUAUACAAAGCAAAGGAUACAGUGUCAAAUUCCAUCUUGAGAAAGGUUACUGUUGCAGAAGAAAAGCUGGCACUCAAGAGGGGAGCUGAAGUCAUGCUGUUGUAUAAUGUAUCUGAGAAGCUAAGGAAUGGAACAAGAGGAAGAGUUAUCGAUCUGAGUGAUGAUGGACCGACGGUAAACUUUUAUCAAGUCGGUAUAGUGAGUAAAGUGACGAAAUGUUCGUGGUUUGCAUAUAAACAUGGCACCAGUGAUAUUCUUGGGUCCCGAACCCAAUUCCCAUUGAAACUGGCAUAUGCAAUCACAGCUCAUAAGAGUCAAGGGCAGACCUUGAAAGCUGCUUGUGUUCAUUCUGGAAAGGAGUUUGUACCUGGACAGUUGUAUGUUGCCUGUUCUCGUGUGUCUUCUAUGCAAGGGUUGUCCAUUGUUAAUUUCAAUGAGCAGAAGCUGAUAAGAUCAUCAAGCAAGGUAGAUAGCUUUUAUGCUAAUUGUCGUGACGACGUACCUCUACAGUCGCAGAUGUGUUGUACCCAAAAAAAAAACAAUUCUAGUUGGAUUAAAUGGACAUAUGAUUGGAAUGCAGCAAUAUCCUGAUGAAAUUGAACUUGAUGAGCAGGAAUUGGAAGAGAUUGAUAAGAUUUGCAGCUCAUAUUUUACUGACAGUGAAAUUGAGCAGCAGGAUGUUGUAAACUUGGAGAUGGUAUUAACUGACAUUCUGUCACAGAUGUCUGGUGAUAUGUCUGAUUUAAAUAAGAUUUCUCCACUUGCCUUGUUGGGUGAGUUGAGAGAAAUGGUAAUCAAUACUUCUACCGUAUUAAGUGCAAGGAUUGUGGAUGUUAUCGAUCUGCUUAAGAAUGACAAAUACCUGCCAAAUGUAAAAUUGUUUGCAAACAUUCAGCAAAGUCGUCUUUACAAGUCAAAGAAGAAGAAGAAGAAUGAUAACUCAGUAAAGUUUGACUUUAAAAGUUUUAUGUCGGCUGAAGUGUCAUUGUGUGACGAUGAUGAUGUCGUGAAAGAAUGUGCUGCAAUGUUCGAUGUUUCUGAAAGGGAACUCACAGUGGAGCACUUCUGGGUGAUGAGCGAGCUUAUAACUGCAGUAAGGUCUGAUAUUAUUGGACAACUGUACAAUGUCAAAUUUGGUAGCAAUGCCAUGAUUGACACACAGAAGAAAAGUGUAUGGGAAAUGAGCAAAGAAGGUCAAGGCAAAGUAAGGUAUGUUGGUGGUUGGUCAAUUAUAAAAUUGAUUUAUGUUUUUAAGAAAUACAUAACAACCAAUUGUACAUCUACUACUUUACAMGUUAGGCAAGAAAUGCGUAAAAGGUAUGAAUGGAUUGAUAUGCUAGAGUCUUUAUUGAUUCAAAGUGCUAAUGUUCAYGAGUCUUCCAGCUAUAGUGAAACCUUGACUGUAACUGAUGUGAGGCAGUAUCGAAGUAAUGCACUGGUGUACGUAAAUGACAAGACCUUUGAGUUUUUUAUGGAMCUGGRGCAAAAGAGAAGCAAUUCUCUUUGUCAUGAGAAYCUGAAUGCUCUAAAAGGAAACAUGUURUCGAUUGCUGUGGAUGGUGUUAAAUGCAACAACAURCUAAARCAGAAAUGRAAAAACUUAUUUGUCAAAAGUGAUGAAAGUGAAAUGGAAGAGAGACAUAAUGCAGAUGUACACGUAUURUAUUGCAAAGUAGUUGAAAAGUACUUUCAAAUGGGAGCUGGUCAGUACAUUAGAGACUUCAGAAGGGAUUAUAAUGUGACAAAAACAGAAGCUCAUCGGAAGAGAGUGCAAGAGAAGAAACUUAUCAAGGAAAGACAAGCAGAAAAGGUGACCCUGGAAAGUAUUAAGCRAGAUACGAGUGAAAAUAAGCAAAAUUCACAUAGUCAGUUKCUAUGUUUAGUGUCUAAAAGACAAGAUGUAUUUGAAACUUCAUAUAGUAAAAAAGAGAUUGAAGUGUUGUUUAGAGCCUAUGGAAAGAGGUAUUACAGUAGUUGGACAAAAGUAAGACUCAAUGAARUUCUUGUCGAUUGUGUGAAAACAGCCACACAGUUUGCAGAUCCAAGCGUGUUUGUGAGCAGCUGAAAGUGAAAUGUAUUACUUGAGAUCUGUGUGAUCUCUUUUGAUCUGUGUGAUCAAUUAUAGCCUUUGUGGCASAAGUCAGUGUUCAAUAUAAAAACCUUUGUGGUUUUAUUUGGGAUCUAAGUGAUCUCGUGAUCUUUGUGAUCAUCAUGAAAUAGGCCUAUGUGGCCAUGUGAAACCGUGAUGUUGAUGUCCUCUGUACCUAUUUGGCAUAAAGAAUGUAAAGAAGCAUGCCAUAAAACUUCAAUUGCUACAAAUUACAUAUUGCUGUUCAUCGCAAGGGAACCUAAAGUGAUGCAAGGACACCAACAGCA